rnacentral:rRNA from 1 species
CAAUAGCGUAUAUUAAAGCUGUUGCGGUUAAAAAGCUCGUAGUUGGAUUUCUGUCAAGUACAACUGGUCCGCCCUCCGGGUGAGCACAUAGUUUGGUCUUGGCAUCUUGCUGGAAGCUGUUGCUGCACUUGGCUGUGUGGCGCAGUGUUCAGCACUUUCACUUUGAGGAAAUUGGAGUGUUUCAAGCAGGCACAUGCCUUUGGACACAGUAGCAUGGAAUAAUUAGAUUGGGCUUUUGCUCCAAUUUGUCGGUUUCUGGAGCUGAGGUGAGUAUUAAUGGGGAUUGUUGGGGGCAUCCGAAUUUAGCCGUCAGAGGUGAAAUUCUUGGAUCUGCUAAAGACGGACAACUGCGAAAGCGUUUGCCCAGGAUGUUUUCNUUGA